UGGGGAAUAUUGCACAAUGGACGGAAGUUUGAUGCAGCGACGCCGCGUGGAGGGUAUAGGCCUUCGGGUUGUGAACUCCUUUUUCUCGCGAAAAAGGCACAGUUUUGGCUGUGUUGAUGGUAGUGGGGGAAGAAGCGCCGGCUAACUACGUGCCAGCAGCCGCGGUAAUACGUAGGGCGCGAGCGUUGUCCGGAUUUAUUGGGCGUAAAGAGCUCGUAGGUGGUUCGUCGCGUCUGUCGUGAAAGCCAGCAGCUUAACUGUUGGUCUGCGGUGGGUACGGGCGGGCUUGAGUGCGGUAGGGGUGACUGGAAUUCCUGGUGUAGCGGUGGAAUGCGCAGAUAUCAGGAGGAACACCGAUGGCGAAGGCAGGUCACUGGGCCGUUACUGACACUGAGGAGCGAAAGCGUGGGGAGCGAACAGG
rnacentral:rRNA from 1 species